GGAAUAUUGGACAAUGGGGGAAACCCUGAUCCAGCGAUGCCGCGUGAGUGAAGAAGUAUUUCGGUAUGUAAAGCUCUAUCAGCAGGGAAGAUAAUGACAGUACCUGACUAAGAAGCACCGGCUAAAUACGUGCCAGCAGCCGCGGUAAUACGUAUGGUGCAAGCGUUAUCCGGAUUUACUGGGUGUAAAGGGAGCGUAGGCGGUCUGCCAAGUCUGAUGUGAAAACCCGGGGCUCAACCCCGGGAGUGCAUUGGAAACUGUGCAGCUCGAGUGCAGGAGAGGUAAGCGGAAUUCCUAGUGUAGCGGUGAAAUGCGUAGAUAUUAGGAGGAACACCAGUGGCGAAGGCGGCUUACUGGACUGUAACUGACGUUGAGGCUCGAAAGCGUGGGGAGCAAACA
rnacentral:rRNA from 1 species